UUUAUUUCCACCACAGACUGUUUUUAUCAUAUUUGUUGUUUUCUGAACCACCUGACCGUCAUUUUCGUAUUUACUCUGAGGGAGUUUAUCGCCUCGGUUUCCCGGAUUUCACCUGCAGAUGUCGGACGUGGUUCGGGGAGUCUGCGCCUCACCUGGAGGUUAGAGGAAACACACAUGUUCAAAUGUAAAUCAAUGAUCGAUAGCUGAGAUUCACAGUUGUGUUCGCGCCACUUAAACAGAGUUUAAAAGUGGUGUUGGCGAAGAUGGCACGAACAGACGCGGUCGAGUUAUCAUCCGACCGUUUAUUGUGUAUUUCAACCGUGUUCUGAGCGAAUCAGGGCAGAGGCCUACCGAGCUAACGAAGCUAACGGCGCUAACUUUUCUCGGAAUAAUCCGGAGAAGGAAAACGGCCAUAAACCGGUGAAUUGGGCUGAUAGUGUGCUCUUUUUUUGUUAGAAAGACCCACACAUUCAAAAAUAACAGUAAAUGUCGGUAUAUUGGUCCCUUUGUACCGCAUACAGGUGAAGUGAGCUAACAUGGAGGCGCCGCCGCCUGGUAACGUGUCUAUAAAACCUGCAGUCAACAAAACCAACUGUAUCAUCGAUGAAAAUCACAUCAUAGUUUAGCAAGUUAUCAAUAUUUGAUCAAUAUUUCUAUAGUAGGAGAGGCCCCUGCUUGUGUACUUGUAUGAGUUAUACAUAGGCCUGUAGGGGAGACCGGGUAAGUUAAGUCCCCUCUGUUUCUUGUAAAUGGUCAAAGAAAUUGAUAAUGUGACCAAAUAUUUAGGAGAUGGUCAUCAAUUCAUGGAGUCUGUGAAGGUUAGAAGCGUUGGCUGUGUCCAAAAUGGAUCCCUAAUCCCUAUAUAGGUGACUACAUGGGGGUUAGCGCCAUUUUGAGGGGUAUCCGAAACCUCAGUGAUCAAUUCCAGUGCCCAAUAUAGGUGAUUCAAAAUUUCCCAUUAAGCAUUGCAAAAUGUAUUGACCAUCCGAUGGUCACUCAACGGUUGCAUCUUGCCAUGUAGUGUCCGAAACCUCCGGUAAUUGAGUUCACUACAACUAUAUAGUAAAACCCCAUAUGGGGGUUAGGGGUCAGGGAUUGAGUGAUUCAUUUCGGACACAGCCUGAGACAUUAUUUACGUAGACGCCCCAAAGCCUGAUGCUGCCUAUUGGAGCUCUGGUAUCAGUGCGCCCGCCAUCUUGGAUGGGUCCCCCGUGUGCCUCUAGUGCAUUAAGGUAAGUAGGAAUGCCCAACCAACUCUCAGAAUUUCUGCCCGAUUUUCACACUGUUUGGUUUGUUACAACGGCAGGGAUGUAGCAAUAAUACAGGACAAUGUCACAUUAAAAAUAAAAAAUAUAUGUUUUUCAAUCCUGUUUGUGAAAUGUAAUCCCACGUAAUCUGGUUUCAAUACUGCGUCGGGUUUUUCAACCAUAGAGUGCAAAAAAACGGGCACAGUUACUCGUUCUCCAUUGACCCCGUUUGGCUCUUGAGUGAACCUGGAGUGGGGAGACCCAUCUAAUAUAGCGGUGACACUGGUUUACGCUCCAGCACGUAAUGAGGCGUCUACGUAUAUAAUCAUACAUAAUACAUUUUAUUCACGUCAUAUUGUUGGGAUACAUUUCUGGUUGUUUUUUGAGACAUCAGCCUUUUUUCCCUGUUUUUCUUAGUAGGAGAUUCUGAUUUGUUCUGCCCAAUAAAGACAAUCAUGACCCAAACACAUUAGGACGCUUAUUUAAACAGUUGCAUGUUCAUGUUGCAUGCUAAUCAAUUUGAGCAAUGAAGUGAGGCAAGAACAUAUUUAGAGCUUGGUGACCUGAUGUCUGAUUCUGUUUAUUUUUAUACAAUCACAGGUGUGACCCGGGUCCCCAGCCUCAGUGGGAUUAUCAGUGUCCACUGUCAACACUACUGCAGAAACCAGACUUCAUGAAUCAUCAGAGUUUGUCCAACAAGACACACAGAUAUGAACACCACCCAUCCCAGCUACAGCAGCUUCCACCACCCUGAAAACAACAUCAACCUCUGCUCUGUCUCACUGAAUCUCCAGUGCAGCUGGAUAAUUUGAAUGAGUGUGUAUUCUAGUAAUCACAUACACUAACUCCCUUUAUCAUGUGUCCUGUCAAAGACUCGCAC